rnacentral:rRNA from 1 species
UACGUAGGUGGCAAGCGUUGUCCGGAUUUACUGGGCGUAAAGGGCGCGCAGGCGGCUCGGCACGUCCGUUGUGAAAUCGCCCGGCUCAACUGGGCGGGGUCAGCGGAUACGGUCGAGCUUGAGCAAGCUAGGGGGCAAUGGAAUUCCCGGUGUAGUGGUGGAAUGCGUAGAUAUCGGGAGGAACACCAGUGGCGAAGGCGGUUGCCUGGAGCUUUGCUGACGCUGAGGCGCGAAAGCGUGGGAGCGAGUCCGG